GUCUUGUUAGCUCAGCUGGUAGAGCAGUUCCCUUUUAAGGAAUUGGCCGUUGGUUCGAAUCCAACACAGGACACCA
rnacentral:tRNA from 1 species